rnacentral:lncRNA from 1 species
ACACACGGAAGGAACAAGAUUAGGGACAGAAUACAAUUAUUUCACAUCACAUAUACAUGUCACAUAUGUCACUGGUACAUAGCUAGCACAUUGAACUUGAGAUUAAAAACAAUCACACCUCUGACUUCACAAAGAGCAGUCUCACUACAAAAUAAAAUCACAGGUAGUAAUCUGAAUUUAUACAACCCACGAACUGAUAGUCACAUAUAAAUCUAGCACAAAACAGUUUGCAAUUGAACAAGUCUCAACACUAAUUGUUCACUGAACACAACAAUAUGUUUUUUAUGAAUUACACACACACACACACAAGGAGGAGCAGAAGGAGGAGGUUUAGAGCAGAGGUUCUGCAAGGGGGCGCAGGAGAGAACAAGCAGCAGUAGUUUUGGGGAGAAGAGAGCGGCAGCAUCAAGGUUUGGGAAGAAGAAGCAGCAGGAGUGCAAGGAGAGAUGGGACACCAGCAAAGGAAAGGAGUAGUAGCAGCAGUGUGGAGGCGCCGGGGAGAAGAGAGCAGCAGCAGUUUGAGGCAAGUGAAGAAGAGUAGCAGCAAGGUGCGUUGAGAGAGAGUCGCUGGUGGUGUGGCGUGGCGAAGGAAGAUGCAGCGGAUGGUGGUGGUGAUGCGGUGCUGGCAGCGGUGGGUGGUGGAGAUGUCGUGGUGGAGAUGGAGUGGAUAGAUGGCUGGGUGACGCACCGCCACGCCGGCCUGGCCGUGGCAGCGGCUGGAGGUGGAGAAGGAGGGGUGAGGGAGAGUGAGAUGUGCCAGGCCAGAAGGGAUCGAAUGAUGUGGCUAGGGAUUUUGUUCCCCUCUCUGAUCUACCACUUUUCUGAUUUGGCCCUUCUCCUUCUAUACUUUUAGCAAAAGAUGAUCCCUUCUCUUCUUCAGCUAGCCCCCUGGUUACUUCUUUUCAUCUCACAAGUCUCUUCUUUCUUCUCUUCUCUUCUUCACUCUUCUCGAUAGCCUCAUAGACGAAAUCUUGAUGAUUAUUAGUGCCUUUGCGCACAUUUCUGCAAGAUAGACCAAAGACUAGUAAAUGAUCCUUUUUAUGAUUAUCAAGCAACAUUCACUCAAUCAUGGCAAGAGUGGACGAAUAUAUCACAAUAGAUGCUAUAUUGAGUACCAAAAUUAUGUAUAUGAAAUGUGCUUAUCAAGUUCCCCCAUACUUAAAUCUUUUCUUGUCCUCAAGCAAAGGCAUAUGACAAGAGCAAGAAUGUGAACAGUGAGCUGAGUAAAGAAUGUCCUGGUAAAAUACAUCUCCAAACAAUGCAUGCUUUGGACUUAGCUAGUGAAAAUUGAUGGUUAAGAGUGCUACAAAGCAGUCGGAUACUAGUAAGCAUGACCAUUUUAAACUUUUACAAUGAUAAAAGAGGAUCAACAAGUUUAAAUGAUGACUGUGCCAAAUGGUUCCUAAAGAGAGCAUGAUCCCGAGAACAAAAAGAACUAGAAGUAAUUCCUGUGAUCAAAUCACUUAUUGAAUUUGAAGGUAGCAACAAUGAUAAUAUUUUACCGGUCUCACCAAAGGAACAUACCACCGAUCCCGAGAAUAUGGUAUACACCUGGCUCGACCAAUUAUUAUUAUUUUUGUUUGUCUCCCCAAACGAACAUACCACCGAUCCAGAGAACAUGGUAUACACCUGGUUUGACAAUUACAAUUUUUAUUAUUAAGUACUGCCCAAGCUAACCUGAUUUCACAUGCCACCGAUCCACGGAACAUGACAUGCUACUAUAGGUAGUCAGACUUAUUUAUUCAUUAUUACUUAUCUUAAAUGAACAACGCAUAAGCACAAAAACAGGAAUCAUCACUUCUCCAUGUCUGGUUCACGUGCUACCGAUCCAGGGAACAUAGCAUACUAGUCCAUAGUGGUAAAGUGAUUGCUCUCAAUGGGAACACAAUAGGCACAAACUCAUCAUCUAACACUUAAUGAUCUAAGUGUAUCAAGGUAAAAGCAGAAAAUGAUUAAGUUUACUAGUGCACUAGGGAUUUGAGCACUCAAAACUAAUAGCUUUCACUACUUUCAACAAAGCAAACAGGGUGUAGAUCACUAGUUUACAAGGCAUUCAACAAUCAGUUCGCAUAUUCUCAUCAAGCACCAUAUGUCAAAGGUGAAAUUCAGCGGGACAACAUUUAAGAAAUGGCACAAGCAACCCAAAUAGAAAUUUAAUUCGGCAAGCAUCAAUGGAUGAUGAUUUCAAAAUGGGUCAUGAAACAGCUCACCAGGCUUUGAUGAUGUAGCACUCGCUCGAUCACCUCACCAACUGCAGCUCCUCUCCUUUUGCUUCCUCAUACAUGCUCCAUCUUCGCUCUUCCUCAUGUGUGCACAUUGCUUCUCCUUAUCACCAUGCCGUGAAUCCACCAGGAUCCCAUGGGAUGUCAUCUCGAACUUGGUCAGCCCGCAAUGAAUGGUGCACAAGAGUAAACCUGAAAGAACACUCAACAACCAAGCCAAUACAAAUGAUAGGGACAAUGCCCUCUAAGUCAUCAAUAGAGUAUCCUAUCAAAUAAGCAUAUCUAUUGAACAUAUGAUAAAUAGAUAUCAUCAAUAAAUCGCAUGGUGCAUAGGCAGUAUCCAUGAUAUGGCAUAUAUAUCUUGUCGAGAAAGCUGAUAUCAUACCUGAGAUACUUGGGAAGAAACUUCAGGACUACCUCAAUUGAAGAUACCAAGUGAGGUGUGGUAGUAGAAAUUUCCACCGGACUCAUGUCAACAAGUGAAAUAGUAGAGCUUGGCUCCUUGACAUCUCAAUCCACCUCAUCAUAAUUAACCAUGAAGCUCUCCAUCUUAGGCUCAAGUGUUGAGGAAUCAAUGCGUCUAACAUCAUUGAAAUUGAACUUCUCCAUAUCUGGCUCUAGCAGCACAUGAUCAAUAUCAACCAAAGGUGACUCCUCAAUAUAAAAAACAACUAACUGCAGCUCUGGCUCAUCCAUGGAAGAAUCAUCACAAUGAAAACAAAAUCUCCAACACUAGUAUCCAUAUGAUCUAAAGUGUGUGUGUCAACUAGGAUGGUGUCAUCAUCAUCAAAGAUAAUCCAUGAAAGCUCAAUCUUGUUACAUGGAGAAACUGGUUCCGACUUUUGUGUAAGAGAUUCUUGCUGAGAUGAAGUGAUUUGUUGCAAACAAGGAACUGAAUCAGAGAUGGGCUUCUCAUUGUACCACUGAAGUUGGUGGAAGGCUAUACUCUCAAUCAGCAGAAAAGCAUCAUCAAGUGUCUUGUUUGUAAUAGCUCCACCCGCUGCCAUAUCGACGUAAGAUCGAGUGUCCGAAGUCAAUCCUCUAUAGAAUAUAUGUAACUCUAACCAUCUCUCAAGCCCGUGGUUAGGACAUCACCUGAUAAAGCCUUGCAUCUCUCCCAAGCAUCAUACAAGCUCUCGUAUUCACGCUGAACAAAAUUGAAGAUCUCAUCUCGAAUCGCAGACUGCUUGUGUAGUGGGAAAUAUCUAUCCAAGAAAGCUCAUGAUAUCUCAUUCCAACUGUAUGACCUUGAUGGCAAGGAUCGAUACCAAGCACGAGCAUCAUCACGGAGAGAGAAUGUGAACAACCUGCACAUGAUUGCAUCUUGAGGAACUCCAUGGUACUUGACUAUAUCUGAAUACUCCAUGACUCGGUGUAAGUGCUCAUAGGGAUCCUCAGUAGGCAGUCCUCCAAACUGUUGUUGUUGAACCAAAGCAAUAAGACUAGGUUUCAACUCGAAGUUCUCUGCCUCAAUAGUUGGCCAAAUCGGUCCUGUGAUAUAGCACCGACUUUUGGGCAUCCAAAGAUCACGAAGCAAUGCCAUCUUAACCGAGUGUAACUAUAGAACAACCUGCAAUUAGUUCAGAUUUCCUACAAACACUCAUAAAUAGUAAACACUAGUCAGAAAGUUAGUAUCCUAAUAAGCCGAAGCAACAAAAAGUAAAAAGGUAAAAGAAGCACAGAAAUAAAUUUGAAUGGAAAUUUAAACAAAAACUAUACUAAGCCUAGCCUAUAGCUUCACACAAUCGUUCGACGCUAGUCCCCGGCAACGGUGCCAAAAUGAUCAAUUGAAGGUACAGUGGGAUAUUUCGCCCGAACUGCGAGUGUCGUGUUCCCCACAGGGACUAGGCGACGAUGACUAUGCUCAGCUAAAUCUAGGUAACACAAUUUUAAGAGACGAAUGCAAAAAAAAAUAAAACCUAAACUAACAAGGUCGUUCCCAAAGAUCGUCGACAAAGAAAAUGCAAACACCAAGGGUAGAUUCAGAUUUGACUCAAUAUCUUUUUGGUGCUUUCCUAGCACUUGAGAAAUAGAAACUACAGGAGGACAACUUCAACAAAGGGAACUAACAAGACAAGAACACAUAUAUGUAUAUAAAACUAGCAAGUAUAAGACACACGGAAGGAACAAGAUUAGGGACAGAAUACAAUUAUUUCACAUCACAUAUACAUGUCACAUAUGUCACUGGUACAUAGCUAGCACAUUGAACUUGAGAUUAAAAACAAUCACACCUCUGACUUCACAAAGAGCGGUCUCACUACAAAAUAAAAUCACAGGUAGUAAUCUGAAUUUAUACAACCCACGAACUGACAGUCACAUAUAAAUCUAGCACAAAACAGUUUGCAAUUGAACAAGUCUCAACACUAAUUGUUCACUUAACACAACAAUAUGUUUUUCAUGAAUUACACACACACACACAAAAGGAGCGGCAGAAGGAGGAGGUUCAGAGCAUAGGUUCAGCAAGGGGGCGCAGGGGAGAAGAAGAAGCAGUAGUUUUGGGGAGAAGAGAGCGGCAGCAGCAAGGUUUGGGAAGAAGAAGCUGCAGGACCGCAAGGAGAGAUGGGACAACAGCAAAGGAAAGGAGUUGUAGCAGCAGUGUGGAGGUGCCGGGGAGAAGAGAGCAGCAGCAGUUUGAGGCGAGGGAAGAAGAGCGGCAGCAAGGUGCGUUGAGAGAGAGUCGCUGGUCGUGUGGCGCGGCAAAGGAAGAUGCAGCGGAUGGUGGUGGUGAUGCGGUGCUGGCAGCGGCGGGUGGUGGAGAUGGCGUGGUGGAGAUGGAGUGGAUAGAUGGCUGGGUGACGCACCGCCACGUCGGCCUGGCCGUGGCGGCGGCCGGAGGUGGAGAAGGAGGGGUGAGGGAGAGUGAGAUGUGCCAGGCCCG